rnacentral:rRNA from 1 species
AUGCCUAAUACAUGCAAGUCGAGCGAAUGAUGAAGAAGCUUGCUUCUUCUGAUUUAGCGGCGGACGGGUGAGUAACACGUGGGCAACCUACCCUAUAGAUUGGGAUAACACAGGGAAACCUGUGCUAAUACCGAAUAAUACAUUUUCUUUCAUGAGAAGAUGUUGAAAGAUGGUUUCGGCUAUCACUAUAGGAUGGGCCCGCGGCGCAUUAGCUAGUUGGUGAGGUAAUGGCUCACCAAGGCAACGAUGCGUAGCCGACCUGAGAGGGUGAUCGGCCACACUGGGACUGAGACACGGCCCAGACUCCUACGGGAGGCAGCAGUAGGGAAUCUUCCACAAUGGGCGAAAGCCUGAUGGAGCAAUGCCCGCGUGAGUGAUGAAGGAUUUCGGUUCGUAAAACUCUGUUGUAAGGGAAGAACAAGUAGCGUAGUAACUGGCGUUACCUUGACGGUACCUUAUUAGAAAGCCACGGCUAACUACGUGCCAGCCGCCGC